rnacentral:misc_RNA from 1 species
GAAAUGCGAUAAUUAAUGUGAAUUGCAGAAUUCAGUGAAUCAUCGAGUCUUUGAACGCACAUUGCGCCCCCUGGUAUUCCGGGGGGCAUGCCUGUCCGAGCGUCAUUGCUGCCCUCAAGCACGGCUUGUGUGUUGGGCUUCCGUCCCUGGCAACGGGGACGGGCCCAAAAGGCAGUGGCGGCACCAUGUCUGGUCCUCGAGCGUAUGGGGCUUUGUCACCCGCUCCCGUAGGUCCAGCUGGCAGCUAGCCUCGCAACCAAUCUUUUUAACCAGGUUGACCUCGGAUCAGGUAGGGAUACCCGCUGAACUUAAAC